rnacentral:miRNA from 1 species
GGGGGUCCCCGGAGCUCGG